CAGGGGUUAGCGGGCGUUGGUCACGUGCUGGCGGCCGUAAGCCUUUGAGACGUCCGCGCGCCGGUCGCUGCUGGUGGUGGGCGCGGCUGGGAGUCGCGAGGCGCCGGGGAGAGUGGGGUCAGUCAGGGAACGUGGCCGGGGCUCGUGGUGUCCGUGUAUGAUGCUGGAGGGCUGAGGAGAGAUAGGCCGUGACUCCCAGAGACGUGAGUGAAUUCAGGAACGGAAUGCCGUGAGGCUCAGCGAGAGAUGGCCCUGCCCGUCUCCUUUGUUGCUGGUGUGGCCUUGCGCCCAAAUGCAGGGAUGCACGCGGAGAUGAUGGUGCAACUUCUUGGUCAUCUCCCACAUAGACAACGAACCCCAGCCCGGAAUGGAGCUCUUUUCCCUCCUUGCAAGCUGGAACGUGGAUGUGCUCACCACCCAGCUUGGACCUUGGGAGGAAGACGGUGCCCGCAGCCAGCACAGCAACAAGCUGGAAAGGGCCUGGCUCACCAUCUGGACCUUGGGACUGUUAUGUGAUGAUACCUACCUGUGCAGUCCUCUAAGCUCUUCCAAAGAUUCUUCACCUGCGUUGUUUUGUUUUGUUUGUUUGUUUGUUUUUGGCUGCACCACGCGGCACGUGGGAUCUUAGUUCCCUGACCAGGGAUCAAACCCGCACCCCCUGCAGUGGAAGCCUGGAGUCAUAACCACUGGACCGCCAGGGAAGUGCUAGCUACGUUAUUUUAUUGAAAUUCUUAUAACACAUGAGGGGAUGAGAUGGGCAGACUAUGUUGUAUUUCUGUCUUCUCUCACCUGCAGGAGAUGCUGAGGUUCCAAGAAUGAUGAUGCUGGAUCAAGGUGGCCCAGCAGGAGAACCACAGUAAUUCAGGUUCAAGAUUCUCAGCUUGGCAUUUAUCGUGCUGACUGCGAGGCUCAUGGCAAUUUAUUUUUAAAAUUUUAGAAAAUGCAAAGAAUUGGGAAACGACUCACUCUGAGAGGUCACCCUGGCUGACAGAAUUGUAAGUUCCUCAGGUCUCUGUCUCGAGGAUCUUGAGUGGAGCCCGGCCUGGGGUUCCUUGAAGUGUCCCGUCUAGGGACAGGGUGACCAGCCCCUGGGGCCAGGUUGAGCUCUGCACGGAGGACCCAGGAGACUCUCUGGUGGGGAAUGGAGAGACUGAGGCAAGGAGCCAGGCGGGUCCUGAAACACUUUCAGACAACGCAACCAUCGCGACCCCGGCGCUCUUAUUCAAGACCACAAUCCUGUGUCCAUGACCACAGCAGUGGAGCCCGGAUGCUUUCUCGUCUGCGUUCUGAUGAUUGCUCUAGACCCACGGGCACAGUCUGUCAAUGUGGGAAGGAGGGAGAAGCAAGGGGGCACAUGCCUCCUUGGGCAGCUCCUCUGCUUUUUCAUUUUUUAAAUAUUUUAAUUUAUUUAUUUACUUAUUUGGCUGCGCUGGGUCUUAGCUGCGGCAUGGGGGAUCUUCUUUGCGGCGUGUGGGAUCUUGUUCCCUGACCAGGGAUCAAACCCGGGCCCCCUGCGUUGGGAGCGUGGAGUGUUAACCACUGAACCACCAGGGAGGUCCCGCCUCUGCUUUCUUCCUUCACUGGCUGGUGGCAGAAGAGCAGAACAUCACCCUGUUUGCUGGCUGGGUGUGUGACCGCUGGGGCCCCCCCUCACCAUGGAAGGCUUUGGGAAGACAGUCUUUGAGUGUUCAAUGGUCUCCAGACCGACGGUGAGUCCUGAGCAAUGGUUCUGGCACCUGCUUAUUAGCCCGUCUAUGAAACACACGCUAUGUACGCCACGGCACUGAGUGGGUCCCAGGGGGCUAGUUGCUUCAUUGUGUAAAUCCAUGCUUAGGGAAGUUUAGCACACACAGACUAUGUGCUCAGCCAGCUGAAAUGAUCCUCUGUUGCUGUUACAGUCAAUGGUGAAAAUCACACACACCACUUUGAAAAGUGAACAAUGUUUUUCACCUGAUGGAUCAUAAUAGCUCUGCAGAGUGGUUAAGGCCUGGACCGUCAGUCCAUUGAGAGCCUGUGGAAGUGGGGGCGGGGGUAGAAGAGCGAGGCUGGGGCUGAGAAGGGGUGUCCCAUCAUGUCACUCCUUCUAGAAAGCCGGCACGAGAAGAACUGGCAGGCGCUUCUACUGGAACGCCAAUCCUUAACUCCGUCUGUACUUUAUGGGCUCGUGAACAUCCCUGAACCCUCUUCUGUAUUUCCACGCACAGCUUUUUGUUUGGCUGGCACCCAAUUCCCACUCUUUCUCAGUAAACCCUCUGUGAUGUGUGUAAAGAACAGAGGAAGGGCCAUGUAAGUGUUAAUGGUGUAGGCAUGCAGCCAGCUCCCUCUGCUUAGAGGUCUAACUCAAGACCCACCUCUGUGAAAGAUCCGCAGCCCGCUGAUGCUCCCCUUGCCUCCAAAUGCUGAGGAUGGUGACAGGGCCAACAGUGAUGACAGUGAUGGUGAUGACAAUGACGAUGACGAUAUGCUGAUGACAGCCAACACCCACUCUGUGAGGCCCUGGGACCACCAUGUUCUAAAUCCUUUAUCUGUGUUAA